UAUUCCAAUUACUCCUGGGUCUUCUUUAGAAAUGAACAUUAUUUUUCAUUAUUGACAGAAACAGCAUGGAAUGUUGAGGACAGCUACAGCUGACUGACUCUGUGUGUUUGCAUAUGUGUCCUGCCUCUCUGCUCCCAGCCGUUAAGAGGCCAGUGUUGAUCAGUGUGUGUCCAGGCCUUUCAGAGCCACUGACACGCCGACAGCACAAUGAUGAUGUCUCUGACUCUACUGCUGGCCACCCUGGGGCUCCUUGUUCAGGGUUCAUCAGGAGAUAUCAUCCUGACUCAGUCUCCUGAAUCUCAGUCUGUUGUUCCAGGUCAGACUGUCUCUAUCAGAUGUAAAGCCAGUUCAGGUGUUAGUUAUGAUUUGCAGUGGUACCUUCAGAAACCUGGAGAAGCUCCUAAACUCCUGAUUUAUAAUGCUGAAUCCCGUCAGUCUGGAGUUUCAGAUCGUUUCAGUGGCAGUCAGUCUGGAACUGACUUCACUCUGACCAUCAGUAGAGUCCAGACUGAAGAUUCAGGAGUUUAUUACUGUCAGCAGGAUAACAGCCUCCCGUUCACACAGUGAUACAACGUCGUACAAAAACCUCCCUCAGCUGCAGAGG